GACGAACGCUGGCGGCGUGCUUAACACAUGCAAGUCGAACGGAAAGGCCCCUUUGGGGGUACUCGAGUGGCGAACGGGUGAGUAACACGUGAGUAACCUGCCCUUGACUUCGGGAUAACUUCAGGAAACUGGGGCUAAUACCGGAUAGGAAUCCUUGCUGCAUGGUGGGGGUUGGAAAGCUUCGGCGGUUUUGGAUGGACUCGCGGCUUAUCAGCUUGUUGGUGGGGUAGUGGCUUACCAAGGCUUUGACGGGUAGCCGGCCUGAGAGGGCGACCGGCCAGAGUGGGGAAGAGAUAAAGCACAGACUGAGACGGGAGGCAGCAGGGGGGAAUAGGGAAUGAGGGGCGGAGGGAUGAUGAAGCAGGGGAGGGGGGGGGAUGAUGGCGUUGGGGGUGUAAACCGAAUUCGGCAGGGGCGAAGCAGGGGGUGAAGGUACCGGAAGAAGAAGCAAAGGCUAACUACGUG
rnacentral:rRNA from 1 species